rnacentral:rRNA from 1 species
CCUACGGGUCGCAGCAGUAGGGAAUCUUCCGCAAUGGACGAAAGUCUGACGGAGCAACGCCGCGUGAGUAAUGAAGGCUUUCGGGUCGUAAAACUCUGUUGUUAGGGAAGAACAAGUGCUAGUUGAAUAAGCUGGCACCUUGACGGUACCUAACCAGAAAGCCACGGCUAACUACGUGCCAGCAGCCGCGGUAAUACGUAGGUGGCAAGCGUUAUCCGGAAUUAUUGGGCGUAAAGCGCGCGCGGGUGGUUUCUUAAGUCUGAUGUGAAAGCCCACGGCUCAACCGUGGAGGGUCAUUGGAAACUGGGAGACUUGAGUGCAGAAGAGGAAAGUGGAGUUCCGAGUGUAGAGGUGAAAUUCGUAGAUAUUCGGAGGAACACCAGUGGCGAAGGCGGCUUACUGGUCUGCAACUGACGCUGAGGCGCGAAAGCGUGGGGAGCAAACAGGAUUAGAUACCCCAGUAGUC